rnacentral:misc_RNA from 1 species
ACGCACACGGUAAUGGUUGUACUCGUAUAGGUAUGCAUGCUUUCACAAUGUUCAGCAACUAUCUGAUUUUUCUGUGAGCAAUUCUUUUCUCUUUUUCUGAGUUGCCUGGUCCUAGUAGAAAUUUUGAUCAACUAUAAUAUUGUGACUAAGUAUUGCAAGCUUUGAAUAAAAAACUGUAAUAAGUGGUUGAAAUAUAUGAGAUUCAAUUGCCUGCUAGCUUUUCUUUUUUUUUUUAAUUCUCUGCACAGAUUACAGAUACGCUGGAGCAAA